CACUUCUACAAUCGAGUGCCCUACUUCGCAGAGAAUCAUUGACUUUAUUGCUUUUUCACCGCUUCAAACAGCUUGAAAUGAUUAUGAAGGGAAACGUAGAGAGGCGCUGAUGUUGAAGUGUAACCGCUGCCUACGCAUCGAGUGGGUGUGCUGGCCUGCAAGUCUGGAAAACGCCAUCAACGAUGGAAUAUAACCUGUCUGGCGCCACUGGCGAAAUUAGUCGGUAAUGAUCGCCUUGUGCAAGUAGACUUAGAUGAAAUAUCAUGUGAAACAUUAUUCAGUAUGCAAAAGAAAAUUGCUUUUCGAAUUGCUUUCCACUAUGUGUCAUAAACCCUAAUGUCCAUAAGUCCUAAAUAAACUCAAUGUCAAUUCUAACAUUA